AUUUCUUCUUUCUUUUUGGUAUGAUCCAAAUGAUAUAAAAAGAAACUAGCAAGCGCACAGUUUUCAUAAACGACUCUAUUCAUAAAAAUACUAGGGGUCUCUAUGUUCUUGAUUCCCCGUGUGACAUAAUACAAAAUUCAACGACAGGAAACAUAUAAUUAGUUACUAUGUCUCCCUCUAAAAAUUUGGUAUCUUUAGAGCGAAUCACUUUCCCUAUUGCAUUACCUUUUUUGACCUGCAAUUAUUCUAUUCUAAUUAGUUUCAUCCUAUUAGUAUUAGAGGAGUAAUAAAUAAAUGCAUAAAGGAAUUCAGAACAAAUUUAUUUCAGAGCGUUAAAAAGGCCGUAGUUGGUUGAGUGCCAAAUAUAAUUAGUCGUUUUGGUGAUAUUGAUUAUAUUUUUAAAUGAUUCAUUAAUUUAUAUCUUUUGUUCAUGGGUCUCAGAAAAUACGUAAGUUGAUAAAGUUUAUUUCAUGACGUCCCGAGGAAUUUUUGUGUCAAUUCUACCCAUCUAUCUACUUAGCUAAAUCUCCGGGAGUAGGGUAGUCUUCAAUCUCUAGCAGGAUAGUAUCUGCUUCUUGACAAAUAUCGUCUUCAAACCUUGGUGAAAACUAAAUAAAUGAGGAGGUGGGGAAACUAAUGCUUCCCACUGGAGCUAUAGAUAUAAUCUGCUUCUUCCUCCGCCCCUAUUUCUUUCAUUAAGUAUGCUAGAGAUUUUGUGUUUUUGUAAAUCAUCUCUUGCUUCUAAAAAGUCAGAAACCCUAUUAAUUGUCCCGUCUUUUGCGAUGAAUUAAGUACUUAAUUUAUGUACUCACGACAAGAAAAGAGAUCUAUGGCCACAUUUAAUCAGUGACAUGUGAAAAAAAAUGUCGGAAAAAGAAUCAUUUUGUGAUACUUCAUAAACAAUUUGGUAAAUUCAAUGACAUUUGAUUAAAAAUGACAUAGUCAUUGCGACUUUUAAUUGAAAUGUAGCUAUAUGAGUUAAUAUUUACUGACAUUUAUAUCUAAUGAAGGAAACUUACAUUUAUACUUAUUAAGCUAAAAAUAUAUAGGCAUGGUCAACUAUUUUUAUUAAAAACCCUACCCCCAAUCUUUCCUCUUAAAACCGUGCCUCCAAUCUUCCCCUUUCCUCAUACACAAAUAAUUGAUAGUGUCAUCUCAUAUUCACAAAAUUGAUCGGAUUGCAAAUUACAUUCUCGAAGUUCAAAGUCGCACUCGAUUAGCGAUAAGCAAAUCUCAGUGUGACACCGAAAAUUGAAAGGGGAAGCAACCAGGUUGGUCUUAGAUUGUUCUAAAACACUAAACAUGACAGAUACUACUGAUACUUCUCAGAUUUUUGAUCGAGGUUAUUAGGGUGCGUUAAGUAUUUUUUUUUGUGAUUUUCAUUCUAUUAUGUUCACUGGAUUGUAUUUCCUGCCUUUAAAAUGGUUUCCCUUUCAUUUAUUAUGAUGUACUGAAGUUUGUUGUUUUUGAAAAGUGGUAGAUAGGGUUAUUUAUGCAUUUAACAGUUCGCUGUUUAUGUUCAAGAUAAUGACUAUUGUGGAGUGAUGAAAUUGAAUCAUUCUGGGGAUAAAGCUUUAGUAUCUACACCUUUUUCCUUUUAAUGUCAUUGUGUAUUCGCACUUUUUAUUUUAUUUCAGUGGUUGAUUCUUUCUUUUAUUGGAUUUUGUCUAUUCUUACAUCUUUAAUAUGAUUGUUUUACUGUCAUGUUGUUAUAGUUCAUCCUUGUUACGCUCUUUCUUAGUCCAUGUAAAUUAUUUAAUUAGUUGAUUAGGUUUAUAGGUGCUAAUAGUGGUAGGAUGAGUGUAGAAAGGUACCUGCAGGUCCAAAUUACAGAAAUCUUACUUGGAUAAGUCAGAAACUGAACUACGCCUUACAGGAAAUAUCACUCUUUUGCAUUUAAUUGAGUAUGAUAGAAUAACUUAUUUAUACCUAUAAUGCCAAAACUUUAGCAGAAUAACAAGGAAGAUUAUAUUUUCUUGACACAUAAAUACUCAAGAUCAGUUCACCAGAGGAAGAAAAACUUGAAAUUGCAGCACCAAAUAACUAACCUCAUCGACUUAUAAUGUUAGAUUCCUCACAGGAGAUGACAUUCUGCUUUUCAUGAGUAAGAAUAUGGAUAUUACUAUGUAUUUAUAGGAGAAAAAUGACCUCUAUAGCAUAGUCAUUAACCAAAUAUGGCCUCUGAAUCUAGUUGAUUGUGGUUCUCAUCUGUAGGUCACUCAAGAGGAUCAUCUCCUUCAAUUGAAAUAAGUGUUGAAAAUAAAUUGUGUUAGGAGCAUACUCAAGGUCUGCUAGCUCGUCAAAGGUUGAUAUGCAAAAAUUGGAGUCAAAAAGAGAAACUCUUGUGCAAAGAAUUGUUGUGAAUUAAUAUUUUUGUACUCAGCAUUGGAGUCUAUUUAUAGUUAGCAUAGCUUGUUCUGAAUAUGUACAGGACAAAAACUUUAUAUUUUUGAGAACCACUACUGAGUGGUAUUGUAAGAUUUUCAAAAAUAUUGUGUACGUAUCUCUUUUGUUUUAAUUCAAAA